rnacentral:snRNA from 1 species
GGCUUUGCACAGUGGCAGUAUCGUAGCCAAUGAGGUUUAUCCGAGGCGCGAUUAUUGCUAAUUGAAAACUAUUUCUAAUCUCAAUGACUUUCUGCAUCAUCCUCCUUGCU